rnacentral:rRNA from 1 species
UACGUAGGGUGCAAGCGUUAAUCGGAAUUACUGGGCGUAAAGCGUGCGCAGGCGGCUUUGCAAGACAGAUGUGAAAUCCCCGGGCUUAACCUGGGAACUGCAUUUGUGACUGCAUGGCUGACGAGUCGGUAGAGGGGGAUGGAAUUCCGCGUGUAGCAGUGAAAUGCGUAGAUAUGCGGAGGAACACCGAUGGCGAAGGCAGU